GCAAACUUGGUCAUUUAGAGGAAGUAAAAGUCGUAACAAGGUUUCCGUAGGUGAACCUGCGGAAGGAUCAUUAUCGAUUGUGAACCGUUGCCUUCUGUGCUGGCUCUAGCAAGUGCACGUUGGUGACUUUCAUUCCGAACACCGUUGUGAACCUUUGGCCUCUUGCUAGCUCCGGCUGGCAGAGGAUUUACACACAGACUCGAAUGUAAUGAAAGACCUCUUGUUGUGCGCAAGCACUAAUGUACAACUUUCAACAACGGAUCUCUUGGCUCUCGCAUCGAUGAAGAACGCAGC
rnacentral:misc_RNA from 1 species